CGGAUAUUUCGUCUUCUGGCCUGGCUUAUUUCGUUUCGGCGCUGCUGAGACCUCCUUUCGCGGAAUAUUACUCAAUGACAGUGUGCGAAGAACGCGAGUUCACCUUCUUGACGAAAAUCGUGGACUAACAGUUUGAAGUCAUUGAACUACUUCCAAAAGUUGUAUCGACAUCAACAGGAUUA